rnacentral:rRNA from 1 species
UACAGAGGUCCCAAGCGUUGUUCGGAUUCACUGGGCGUAAAGGGUGCGUAGGUGGUGAGGUAAGUCGGAUGUGAAAGCUCGGAGCUCAACUCCGAAAUGGCAUUGGAAACUACCUUGCUCGAGGGUUGGAGGGGGGACUGGAAUGCUUGGUGUAGCAGUGAAAUGCGUAGAUAUCAAGAGGAACACCAGUGGCGAAGGCGAGUCCCUGGACGAUACCUGACACUGAGGCACGAAAGCCAAGGGAGCAAACAGG